GGUCAGUGAUGACUAGAAGAACUCUGAUGGCACUGACUCACUGCACAUCCAUUGCUUUCUUGGCCCCCAGCUGCUUUGGUUACCUUUCCCUUCAUUCCUCAGUAGUACUGUAGGGUGUUUCUGAAGCUGCUGACAUUAUGCGGAUGAAGUUAGCGCAUGUUNCCUACAGGUUAAGGAACUUGGCGCUGGCUGUGGUCCGACAAAACCUGGCAAGGGGCCAUCAGAUUUGGGAUGUGUCUAAACGUGCAUGAUCUUUAGUUUUCAAGCUGAGACC
rnacentral:snoRNA from 1 species